rnacentral:lncRNA from 1 species
GCUAAGGGUCAGCAGCAACACACUGCACUCCUGACUCCUGCUCUGAUACUUGCCUCACUGGAACCGUCAUCCCCUCUCAUGUGGCAAAUGCAGCUGGGUAUGUGGUCAGUGCAACCUGUACUUCUACAGCCACCAGCCUGCAGGCUGGACCCCAUUAGAGUGAGGAACGGAACCCCUGCUAGCCAGCCUCAGGUGACAAAACUGAGGCUCAGAGGCCAAUGGCCUUGUUCAAGGUCACACGCCCACUAAAUGAGAGACCCGGAGACCUGGCAUCACACGCUAACUAAGAAUACUGGAAGGAGAUAAGAUUGGGACUGAAAGACCUGGAUUGAAUGAUUUUUAUCAAGUCACUUCCCUUCCUUGGAUCUCCAUUUACUCAUCAAUAAACUAAGCAGAUUGGAUUAAAUGUUCUGUAAGGUGCCUUCUAGGUGAGGAAGAAGUUGGGAUAAGUCAUAAGGAAGCACCCCAAUGAACAUCUCCUGCCUCUAUGGUUUUUCUGACAUCCAUCAACAUCUGUCAGAAUUUGAAAAUGUGACUGCUUUUAGGCACUGUGCUUAGUGCUGGAGAUUCCGUGUUGAAGCUCACAGUCUGGGGCAGAGAUGGAAACAGACACAAAUAACUAUAAUACAAUGUGGUAAGUGCUGUAAUAUAGGUACUGUAUGCUCAGAGUGCUACGGGAACUCAGGAGGGAGCUUAUGAAAUAAUUUAGUUAAUGUUCCAAUGUCUAAAUGUGAAUGUUUAAAUAACGUCUUUCUUUCCUCAGUGCUUCCUGCUUUGCAUGGCAUUUUUUACUGUUUUUUAUCUUAUUUGCUGAUUCUAGCGAUCCCGUUAAUAAGUUUUCACUCCACAAACUCACCCUUAUACAGAGUAGGUGCUCAAGAAACAUCUCCCAAAAGACAGAAUAAGUGAAUGGAUAGUCGAUGUUAUUAGCUUUUGUUGACAAUUAG